rnacentral:rRNA from 1 species
CCUACGGGAGGCAGCAGUGGGGAAUAUUGGGCAAUGGGCGCAAGCCUGACCCAGCAACGCCGCGUGAAGGAAGAAGGCUUUCGGGUUGUAAACUUCUUUUCUGAGAGACACAGAAAGUGACGGUACCUCAGGAAUAAGCCACGGCUAACUACGUGCCAGCAGCCGCGGUAAUACGUAGGUGGCAAGCGUUCUCCGGAUUUAUUGGGUGUAAAGGACUUGUAGGCGGGAAAGCAAGUCAGAUGUGAAAAUUCAGGGCUCAACCCUGGGCCGGCCUUUGAAACUGUUUUUCUUGAGUGCGGGAGAGGCAAUCGGAAUUCGGGGUGUAGCGGUGAAAUGCGUAGAUAUUCGGAGGAACACCAGUGGCGAAGGCGGAUUGCUGGACAGUAACUGACGCUGAGGCGCGAAAGCGUGGGGAGCAAACAGGAUUAGAUACCCGAGUAGUC